rnacentral:tRNA from 1 species
UUAUCCGUUGACAGCCUUCGCUCCGCCCUCCGAAGGCAGAGGUCACAAGUUCGAAUCUUGUCGGGUGCGCCA